AUGAAGCGCAUCUCCCGCCUCAUCUACGAGGAGACCCGCGGCGUCCUCAAGAUCUUCCUCGAGAACGUCAUCCAUGACGCCGUCACCUACACCGAGCACGCCCGUCGCAAGACCGUCACCGCCAUGGAUGUCGUCUACGCGCUCAAGCGCCAGGGCCGCACCCUCCACGGCUUCGGAGGCUAG
rnacentral:rRNA from 1 species